UUCAUCCGUUCACUCUCUGCUCCGUUAAUGGGAUUGCUGUGGUUGUCAAUACUCUGUGGUCAGUUUGGAGCCGCAUCAGGUCGAUGUCUGGCUACGGAGCGGGACCCCUGGAAGCUGCACUACUCCCUCUCCAGAGGCCGCCCCAGCUUCAAUGGCACAUGCUCAGCUCAGCACAGACCUUCUAUCUGCCAAAGGGAAUGUUCAGAGGCCACGGAGGAAGGCUUUCCUUGAACUCUUUUGACAGCCCUGGCCUGGAACUUAAGGACUUUAAGAUCUGAGCCAGUUGCUCACUAACCAGUUUCUGCCUUUGCUGUAUCAUGUGUUUCUUGGAGUGUUCAUAACUGGAUGAGGACCCGGGCCACGGAGUGGAUCGAGGCCACAUAGCAAAGCUGGGCUCAUCUGGCUUUGGAGCCUUGAUCACAUGAAUGAACUCUCUGAGCUUUGAUUCCCUCAACUACAGAAUGGGAAGACCAAGGCUCAGUCUUAGGUGUUUGCGUGAACGUUUACUGUAUUCAGCCCUAAAAAUCACCACUAGGAUGCCUCGCAUAUAGCUCUACAAGGUUGCUCUCCAUAGAUGUGAUCUGAAAUUGAAAUAACUUGGGAAUGUGAGCUGCUGAAUCUGAAGGAGUGCAAGAUGUUUCUCUCUCAAAGAAAGGCAUCAGCUGAACGGAACUGCCAAGGAAUGUGUACUUUGCACCUUCUCCUCAUGAAACUGCAACCCUUCAUAUUGCUCUAAGUUUGGGAAUCACAUUCCCAAGCUUUUGUCUUUAUCCCGGACUUCUCCCAUGAGUUGCAAAUUCCACAUCUCCAUGUGGCUACAUGGUGGCUAUCUCAAGCUCAGUAUGUCCAAGCAGUCCUCACCUUCCCAACUUGAAUAUCACUCAGGCCUUCAAGGUAUCCCUUAAGGCUCUCUUUCUCUCAUACUUCAAAUCCACUGUGCUUCUCUUUCCCAAUAUCCAAGAUGGAGACUGUCCCUACCUGCACUAGUGGCCCCUGGGCCAGCUUUCCAGGUGACCAUGACUGCCUUCUCAUGGGCAGCCCUGCACCUGGCUUGGCCCCACACAAUCUCUGUGGCCUGUCUUCCGUGCAGCUACCAAUACAAGUCUCUUAAAAUGUGAGUCAGGAUAUAGGUCAAAUAUGAUUGGGUUAACUAUGGGCUCAAAACCCUGUAACAGUUCUGCAUUCAUUCAGAAUAAAAACCAAGAUCUUUAAUACGGCCUGGGGUGCUCCAUGUGUUACGUCAGGGACUCAUCUCUUCUGAUUCCCCCUCCUUGUUUGCUUGCCUGCAGAAGUGCUCACUGUGCUUUUUCCCAGAACUCUGAGCCCUCUCAAGAUUUAGGGGUUUUGCACUUGUGGUUUUUCCUGUUUGAAACACUGUCCCCUGUACCUAUGUGACUACCUCCCUCAGCUUCGCAAGUCUUUGCCAACAUGUGUCCUUCCUCCUGAGGCUGGCUAUCCUAUUUUAUAUUGAAACCUGGCUGCUUCUCCCUGUCGCCUUGUCCCAUACAGUGUAAUUAGUCAUUUAUGACUUUGUUGUUAUUAUCUGUGUCCCCCUUCUAGACUUUGAGCUGCCUGAGGGCAGAGGCUUUUGCUGUCUUCACUAAUGGUUCUCAAGAGGAGGUCCUAUGAUUUGUAAACCAGUGCAUCAAGCUCUUUUGUGGAUCUGGCUGCUAUUAAUGAAAGAUUAGACACUAGUCACAGUGGGUAAGGAAACCAGACCUGUGUUUCAAAUGGACUGAAACCUUCUGUCUUAAGCUGCUAUGAGUGAGGAUUUCUGAGAGUCAGUAACCACAGAGGCCCCCAAACCCCUCAUUUCAGGAGAGUGCAGAAGAGGGAAAGGAACUUCUGCAGGAUUUGGCUCAUUAUUCUUUUCCUUCUGACUUGUUGUAAUAUAGUCAUUAUUAGUGUUUUUUUUUUUUUAAAAAAAAACUGGACUGAACUUUAUUUUCCAUUUGGAUAAAUCUAGAGGAUGGGGUGAUAUUACACGGGAGAAUAUAUAAUUGAGAAAUUGCUUGGAUUUUUCAGUAAAGAGUCUGUCCAGAAAAAUCUCCAAAAACAAUCGUUUCUAACAGAUACACAUUCAGAGAUGUUCUAGGAAAAUUAAAUGUGCAAAGGUGCUCUGUUUAUUUGAAUAUUGAAUAAAACUAACUGCUCUCAUAUCUUCUCGUAACAAUUUUUCUAAAGCACAUGUGCUGUGUAGGACUCUAGGUACGGGACAAUUGGCUUUACUGCACCCAAGGCAAAAAUAUGAGUAGCUCUGCCUACAGGUACCCAAUCAAUGAUGGCCCAGGUGAUCUAGCUAUACCAAGCUUUACAGUAACAGUGUCAUUGAGGCACGCUUAGUUUUUUCAUCGUAAGAGAUCAGUUUAAUUUGUAGUGCAAUGAAUGUUUAACAGUUUAAUGUUUUGCCUCCACUAAAGA